CACAAGUGCUAGGCUUGGCACAGGUACAGGGGAGAGGUUACGGAGUGGGUGUGUGCAGGGCCUGGUGGGAAUGGGGAGACCCGUGGACAGAGCUUGUUAGAGUGUCCUAGAGCCAGGGGGAACUCCAGGCAGGGCAAAUUGGGCCCUGGAUGUUGAGAAGCUGGGUAACAAGUACUGAGAGAACAAAAGCUUGUGGGUCAGCAGGCCCCACAAAGAUGUGACUGCAGACAGGAUCGGCCCUGGGAGAGACCGAGGCUCCAGGUGACUCCUAUAGCAAGGCAGUGAGGGGGCGGGUCUGGGGCUCCAGUUCAGGAAUACAUAGUCAGCUGCAGCCACUGGGGAGAGGAGGGUGGAGAGUGAGGACAGGGAACCCCAAGAGCACCAGCCCCUUUGCCCUCACCCAGGGACGGCUGGCAAAAUAGGAGGAAGGGGACUGCAGCUCAGAGCUGGUAUGAAGGGCUGAGGGGUGGGGUCCUCCCAGGCACCCAUACCCCAAUAUGGGGGUCCUUACCUCCUGGAUGUUCACCUGGAUUUGUCCAGUGCCAUCUUUGUCAAGAGAUUUGAAGGCACCUGGAGGAGGAGAUGCAGAGGUUUGGCGGCAGGGAAGGAAGGAGACUGGUUUUUGGCAUAAUAACAUUACACAAAUACAUGGGAUGACAAUCAUAGCAGCUGGCACUUCACUGAGUAUUUACUGUGUGCCAAGCAUGGGGUAAAGUGCUUUCCAGGUAUUGGCUGAUUUAAUCCAACUCUGUGAGAUAAGUGUCAUUUUAAAAUGAGGCACAGGCUGGGCGUGGUGGCUCACACCUAUAAUCCCAACACUUUGGAAGGCCAAGAUGGGAGGAUCACUUGAGCCGCCCAGGAGUUCGAGACCAACCUGGGCAACAGAGACCUCAUCUCUGCUUUUUAAAAAAACUAAAAAUUAAAAACAGGAAAAAAAGAAAUGAGGCAGGAAGGGAGGGGCCAUGCCCCAGGUCACAUAGCAAGAAAGUGAAGAAAUCAGGAUUGGAAUCCAAUCUGUUACCCUCCUCAAUAAUGGCCUCUGUGUACUGAUAUCACCUCUGCCCAGCCCCAGCCUCCUACUGACAUCUAUGCUCCAUCCUCUCCAGUUCUAAGCCUAACAGGCUACUAGAGGGAGGCUCUGCACACUCUACUUCCUGCCCCUAGAGUCUUACAGGUAGGUCCCCACGCCUGCCCUGAAACUUGACUCCAUGUUCCCCACCCACAGGGAAUCUAGACAUGAUGACUACACUAUCUCCGCUCAGUUACCACCACCCUCAGGUGUCCAUACCCACAGCGUCCUGCACACCCUGGCUGCCUUUCUUUCUUUUUUUUUUUGAGACAGAGUCCCACUCUGUUGCCCAGGCUGGAGUGCAGUGGCACGAUCUUGGCUCACUGCAACCUUUGCCUCCCAGGUUCAAGUGAUUCUCCUGCCUCAGCCUCCUGAGUAGCUGGGACUACAGGCGUGCACCACCACGCCUGGCUAAUUUUUUUGUAUUUUUAGUAGAGACGGGGUUUCACUAUGUUGGCCAGGCUGGUCUCAAACUCCUGACAUCAGGUGAUCCGCCCACCUCGGCCUCCCAAAGUGCUGGGAUUACAGGAGUGAGCCACCAUGCCCAGCCCUUUUUUUUUUUUUUUUAGACGGUGUCUCUGUGGCCCAGGCUGGAGUCCAGUGGCAAGAUCAUAGCUCACUGCAGCCUCACCCUCCCGGGCUCAAGUGAUUCUCCUACCUCAGCCUCCCGAGCAACUGAGACCACAGGCAUGUGCCACCAUGCCCGGCUAUGUCUAUAUACAUAUAUUUUUUUUUUUUUGUAGAGAUGGAGUCCUACUACAUUGCCCAGGCUGGUCUCAAACUCCUGGACUCAAAUGAUCCUCCCGACUAUCAGCCUUCUUGCUGGUAGAUCCAGUGGCUAUUUCCUGGCCCCUCUUAUGUGACUUGUGGCAUCAACCUUGUCUGUCCACUCCCUUCACCUCCCUGCUAUCUCACAUACCUGCUUCUUUUCCUCUGUUACUUUUCAUGCAUUGUGGGCUCUCUGGAGGCCAAGGGAUCUUUUUUUCUUUUUUUUUUUUUGAGAUGGAAUCUCGCUCUUGUCACCCAGGUUGGAGGCUGGAGCUGGAGUGCAGUGGCGCGAUCUCGGCUCACUGCAAAGCUCCGCCUCCCAGGUUCACGCCAUUCUCCUG
rnacentral:lncRNA from 1 species